UUUAGGAUGAAGGUUUGAUGGCUCAGGAUGGGCGGUCAAGCAGGAAGCAUUUAACACUGACAGGAUGGCAGUGUUUAGGAAGAAUAAAGGAACAGUGCGCGGAUCGCACAAGGGACACCGCUCAAGGAACAAGUGAUGUCAGCUAACUAGGAACGUUAGCUAUCAGGACGAACAGGACACUGCUAGGACGGCAAGGUUAGGAUAGGGCACAUGGACAUGGCCACUAUUAUGGACGAUGCAUGGAGCAUUAUGAUGUAGCCGGACUGCUGCGAGUAAGACUAUAGCCCUGAUACUCACGUGUCAGGGCUUUUCUUAUUC
rnacentral:other from 1 species